rnacentral:rRNA from 1 species
GGGAGUGGCAAGCGUUAUCCGGAAUUAUUGGGCGUAAAGCGUCCGCAGGCGGCCCUUCAAGUCUGUUGUUAAAAAGUGGAGCUUAACUCCAUCAUGGCAGUGGAAACUGUUGGGCUUGAGUGUGGUAGGGGCAGAGGGAAUUCCCGGUGUAGCGGUGAAAUGCGUAGAUAUCGGGAAGAACACCAGUGGCGAAGGCGCUCUGCUGGGCCAUCACUGACGCUCAUGGACGAAAGCCAGGGGAGCGAAAGGGAUUAGAUACCCCUGUAGUCCUGGCCGUAAACGAUGAACACUAGGUGUCGGGGGAAUCGACCCCCUCGGUGUCGUAGCCAACGCGUUAAGUGUUCCGCCUGGGGAGUACGCACGCAAGUGUGAAACUCAAAGGAAUUGACGGGGGCCCGCACAAGCGGUGGAGUAUGUGGUUUAAUUCGAUGCAACGCGAAGAACCUUACCAGGGUUUGACAUCCUGCGAAUCUCUUGGAAACAGGAGAGUGCCUUCGGGAACGCAGUGACAGGUGGUGCAUGGCUGUCGUCAGCUCGUGUCGUGAGAUGUUGGGUUAAGUCCCGCAACGAGCGCAACCCACGUCUUUAGUUGCCAGCAUUUAGUUGGGCACUCUAGAGAGACUGCCGGUGAUAAACCGGAGGAAGGUGUGGAUGACGUCAAGUCAUCAUGCCCCUUACAUCCUGGGCUACACACGUACUACAAUGCUACGGACAAAGGGCAGCAAGUUCGCGAGGACAAGCAAAUCCCAUAAACCGUGGCUCAGUUCAGAUCGUAGGCUGCAACUCGCCUACGUGAAGGCGGAAUCGCUAGUAAUCGCAGGUCAGCAUACUGCGGUGAAUACGUUCCCGGGCCUU